GUGGGGAAUUUUGGACAAUGGGCGCAAGCCUGAUCCAGCAAUGCCGCGUGCAGGAAGAAGGCCUUCGGGUUGUAAACUGCUUUUGUACGGAACGAAAAGGCUCUGGUUAAUACCUGGGGCUCAUGACGGUACCGUAAGAAUAAGCACCGGCUAACUACGUGCCAGCAGCCGCGGUAAUACGUAGGGUGCAAGCGUUAAUCGGAAUUACUGGGCGUAAAGCGUGCGCAGGCGGUUUUGUAAGACAGACGUGAAAUCCCCGGGCUCAACCUGGGAGUGGCGUUUGUGACUGCAAAGCUGGAGUGCGGCAGAGGGGGAUGGAAUUCCGCGUGUAGCAGUGAAAUGCGUAGAUAUGCGGAGGAACACCGAUGGCGAAGGCAAUCCCCUGGGCCUGCACUGACGCUCAUGCACGAAAGCGUGGGGAGCAAACAGGAUUAGAAACCCGAGUAGUCC
rnacentral:rRNA from 1 species